CCUCUUUGUUAAAGAUAACUACUAAUAUACGUUGAUUUAAUUUAAAAGUAAUUCAGAUUUUAUAUUCUCAUAGACAAAUCAUAACUGAUUUACAAAACACGAACAAAGGAAAAACCCAAAAAGUAAAGAAAUUAGAGAAAUCCCACCGCAGCUCGUUGGAGAGCGAAAUUCAAGUAAGAUCAAUCGAGCAUUCUUUCUUGAAAAAUUAUUCUAUACAUAUGGAAGCAUUCACUGAGAGCUCUUAAUAGAGAUGGGUGAAUUUGAUUGAAAGGUGACGAAAUAUGCUCGGCAAGAAUUAAAGAAAUCGUUUUCUGGUUUGUGGGUUUCUUGAUUCUGUAUCAAAUGGGUCGGAAGGGGAGUGAAGUGGAGCCAGUGAGGUUUGGGUCUAUGGUGCUUCUGUUGAUGGGUUUAGUCUCUUUCUGUAUGGUCUACAUUUUCAUGGCAACUGUGAUGAGCCCCUCGUCGUCUGGUGAUUCAAAGGUGGGAUCUUUAGGGUUUGGUGAUGGUAAUUCUGUCGGCGGUGGUGGGAAUUCGGAGGCUGAGGUGAGUGGAGGUGGGGGUUGUUGCAGUGGGAUUCCGAAUUUGGAGCUGUGGGGUGAUGCUGUCAAGUGGGGGACUGAUUUCAAGUUCAAUUCGUCCGAGCAGUGCUGCAACUCUUGCAAGGCGAUGUGCACGGGGAAGGACGGGCCGUGCCUCUGUGAUUCGUGGGUGUUCUGUGGGAAUAAGGAGGCUUGUGGGGAGAAAUUUGGUGAGUGCUGGUUGAAGAAACAAAAGGAUGUCCUGCUUCCUGAAAAGCUAUAUACUGAAAACAAAGUCAUGUGGACAUCGGGCCUCAUCUUUGGGAGAGGGGAGGUAUACACGGGCAUUAUUGCAUUGGAGACGGAGUAUGGGAACCUUCACAUCAAGCUUUUGCCUGAAUGUUCCCCACAUUCAGUUGCAUACAUGCUAGAGUUGUUGGCUCUGCGACAUUGUGCAGGCUGCCAUUUUUAUCGAGCCGAAGGCCGGGGUCAGUUUUGGGAUAUUAAGGGAAACCACAUAGAAGAUGCUUCAUAUGGCCCUCCGUUUGCUCUUAUUCAAGGAACACUAGAAGCCCAAGAAGCCACAUUCGACCCGAUUCCAUCGGAGCACAGCUCAACCAUAAGAAGGGGUUCGGUGGCAUGGGUUGGAUCCGGCCCUGAAUUCUUCAUCAGCCUUGCAAAUCAUGAAGAGUGGCAAAAUGGAUACACCGUGUUUGGUUCUGUACUCCCUGAAGAUAUGGCGAUUGCCGAGAAAAUCGCACGGCUUCCGACAAAGUCAGAUGUUUGGAAUAACAUCAAUGUCUCAGUUUUGGAGAAAACUGUACCUUUGAAUAUUCAAAGAAUCAACCUCAGUGACGGUGACCUAAGUCUCACUGACUAGAAGGGUACCUCGAACGCCUUCUCGUGUAUAUCUCUUGCUGAAAAAUAGGUUUUAGUGCAAUAUCUCCUAAAGAAGAUAUCACCUCACUUUGAAUGUUGAGUUAGAUUCAAAGUGUAGAUGAACAUUAUGGAGCAUAUGAAGGUGCAGCCAAAGACUAACUGUAAUGUAAAGCUCUACAACAUGCACCUUUGGAGGUGCCUUCUCAAGGAGUACUAAGGAAAUGUCUUAUUUUUUUCCUCCUGUCAAAACCUAACAACAAUCUUAGAUAAAUAAAUGUAUUUAUUCUCCUCC